CGGACAGAGGAGGUGAAGAGGAACAGGGUCGGAGGCAAAUGCCCAGAGACCCGGGGGCCAGACGUGUAGCUCGGCGCAAUCGGCCAGUGAGUGCUCCAGGCAGAGCUGGAGGAAGCGGGCCUGGGUCUGGCUCACGCGCUUGAGCAACGACAGCAGCGCAACAGUCUGCUCGCACUCGUUCCAGCCCUUAAACCAGCCCGCCAGCACCCCGACCUGGUCGCGAAACAUCAUGGUUAGGGGGCCGCCCUCCGUCAACGAAGCCUCUCGGCGCCCCUGCCCACCCCAAAGUUUGGCGGAGCCGCAGCCCCGCGGCCUCCCGAGACGCGUUCCGGUUCCAAGGUCUCCGGUGCCCGGGCGCUGCAGCUUAAGAAUGGUGAUUUCCGGCGUCCCGGGGUCUUCUCCCCGCUGGGCGGCAGCUCGGACCCUUCACACCCGCAUUCCCAAACGGCAAUCACUACUGAAAAGACAGAAAGAGCUGCAGUGAGACCUCGGCCCUCGGAGGAGAGCGUCUAGGGGGAUCUGGGCACCAGGGGGAGCCCGGUAGAGGGGGUGUGUGGAAGCUAAGGUUGGGGGUGUCCCGUGGAGGCAAGUCCCCCAAAUUCCAGCUGGCCCCUCCACACUCGGAUGCCCAAGCUAAGCUAUUGCACAGCUUCCUUCCCAGGUGCGGGAGGAGACCCCGCGGCUUCCUGUUGCUGCGGCUAUGACCCGCUAGUGCUCCCUGCACGCCCCACCCGGGGUGGCCUCCAGGGCUGUGUCUGCGAACGCCAGCACCAGCAACAGAUCCUCCCCGCGCUGAAAACUUGCAAUGCGGCUGCGAAGGGGCGCGGGGGUGGGGUGGGGGCUAAUGCAAAGCAGAGGCGGUGACAGAGGCAGCCAGGGUUCCAGCCUCCUCCUCUCCUCCUCUUCUUCCUCCUCCUCCUCCUCUUCCUCCUCCCUCUCUCCUCCCUCCUCCAAUUCCUCCCCUCCCUCCCUCCUCCUCCUCCCGGAGAAGCAGCCGUACGGCUGCAGCUCCAUCUACAGCAACAGCCAGCAUCUCCACCGCCAGGCUCCCCUCUGAAUUUAGGCCGUGAGCAGCCGCUGCGACAGCUGAGACAAAAAUAAA